rnacentral:rRNA from 1 species
GGGGAAUCUUCCGCAAUGGACGAAAGUCUGACGGAGCAACGCCGCGUGAGUGAUGACGGCCUUCGGGUUGUAAAGCUCUGUUAAUCGGGACGAAUGCGUCUUGUGCGAAUAGUGCGAGGAUUUGACGGUACCGGAAUAGAAAGCCACGGCUAACUACGUGCCAGCAGCCGCGGUAAUACGUAGGUGGCAAGCGUUGUCCGGAAUUAUUGGGCGUAAAGCGCGCGCAGGCGGAUUGGUCAGUCUGUCUUAAAAGUUCGGGGCCUAACCCCGUGAUGGGAUGGAAACUGCCAAUCUAGAGUAUCGGAGAGGAAAGUGGAAUUCCUAGUGUAGCGGUGAAAUGCGUAGAUAUUACGAAGAACACCAGUGGCGAAGGCGACUUUCUGGACGAAAACUGACGCUGAGGCGCGAAAGCCAGGGGAGCGAACGGGAUUAGAUACCCCGGUAGUCCUGGCCGUAAACGAUGGGUACUAGGUGUAGGAGGUAUCGACCCCUUCUGUGCCGGAGUUAACGCAAUAAGUACCCCGCCUGGGGAGUACGACCGCAAGGUUG